rnacentral:rRNA from 1 species
AACGAACGCUGGCGGCAGGCUUAACACAUGCAAGUCGAGCGCCCCGCCAGGGGAGCGGCAGACGGGUGAGUAACGCGUGGGAACGUACCUUUUGGUUCGGAACAACUCCGGGAAACUGGAGCUAAUACCGGAUAAGCCCAACGGGGAAAGAUUUAUCGCCGAAAGAUCGGCCCGCGUCUGAUUAGCUAGUUGGUGAGGUAACGGCUCACCAAGGCGACGAUCAGUAGCUGGUCUGAGAGGAUGAUCAGCCACACUGGGACUGAGACACGGCCCAGACUCCUACGGGAGGCAGCAGUGGGGAAUAUUGGACAAUGGGCGCAAGCCUGAUCCAGCCAUGCCGCGUGAGUGAUGAAGGCCUUAGGGUUGUAAAGCUCUUUUGUCCGGGAAGAUAAUGACUGCACCGGAAGAAUAAGCCCCGGCUAACUUCGU